UUUUCUUUCUUGUUAAGAAGCCCCACUCAACAGAAAUGCAGCUGCUUGCUUUACACCACCACAGUUGUCAUAAAAGAAAGCACUAUCUUAGACUUAACGAACGCUGUAUUGUGGGCAUCGUGUUUUCACAGUCACCUAGUCGCUUAACCAUCGAAAGACUACAGAGCACAAUAAUGAGCCGGACAGCAUGGAUAACCUUGGUGUGCCUUCUUUAUUUUGAUGUUGCAGCGGGGAAACAUAGGCAGCGGCCACUUACUGUGGCACCUAGCCCUCGUGCGGGUACAGAGGUUCCCGAUCAUGUGUUACACUGUCAACUUACGGGGCACUCGUGUCACGAGGCCAUUGAAUGCUGCCAGGGAAAGCCGUGCAAGGACGGGAAGUGCCUGUAGGCUGCCUAAUUCAAGGGCAGUGACAUCCCGGAACCUUCAAGGAGACCAGUCCCAUAACGGCACGUCUAUCGAAAAGAAAAAGAGCCAGCGAUUGAUACCGCAGUCUGCGUUGCGAGAAAUACAUUUACAGUAAAUAUAAAGCUUCAGUGAUAUCAUGUGA